CAGUCUGCACUACGGGCUCUUGCUCGUUCAGGAAUGAGAAUUGGCCGCAUUGAGGAUGUGACUCCAAUCCCAACUGACAGCACCAGAAGAAAGGGUGGUAGAAGAGGUAGAAGAUUGUAAGCUGGCUUGGAGAUAUUUCACCUCCGAUCUUUCCGUCUUCAAUUUUGGAAGGUUGAUGUAGUUCUUAGAGGUGUUAGCUUUGAAGAACUGGAACAUUUUGUAGUAUUUGGAAUUGGCCUUGCUGACUAUGCUUUACAUUAAGUUUUUUUUUUAUUUUGAGGGAAUGAUCUACAUUAAUUAUGAAGGUAUUCUUUCUAGUUUGUUUUA